GCCUUUUGCAACAGCAGUAAUGUACCAGGUCUGAUCUAGGAAGCUAAGCAGGGUUGGGCCUGGUUAGUAUUUGGAUGAGACACCACCUGGGAAUACUGGGUGCUGUAUAGGCU
ensembl:rRNA 5S_rRNA 5S ribosomal RNA